rnacentral:lncRNA from 1 species
UCCCUCAUUCCUUAAUGUGCUUUGAUAUGACUAUGUGUUUUCUUUGAAUAACUUUAUGAUUCUACCCAUAUAAUUGACCUUCUUAUAUAAUAUUUGCUUUUGUUAUAUUUAUAUGUAUUUGUAGUAUUCCUUUCUUGUGGUUUAGCAGGGUUGAACUAGAAGUUCAAGGUAUGAAGAGUCGUCAUGGAAGGGAAAAUAAUAGACGAUGAAUUUAUUUAAUUCGUGUUUUGUAUAUUAUCUAAUUUCUGUUAUUCGGUUUGUAAUAUUUGUAUAACUCUAACUCUAGUAUAUAUGUGAAAUAUUUGGGGAUCGUCUAAAGGGGAGGGGAUUUAUGUGCUACUUGUUUAUUUUAUC